CUCAGAACGAACGCUGGGCGGCAUGCCUAACACAUGCAAGUCGAACGAGACCUUCGGGUCUAGUGGCGCACGGGUGCGUAACGCGUGGGAAUCUGCCCUUUGCUUCGGAAUAACAGUUAGAAAUGACUGCUAAUACCGGAUGAUGUCUUCGGACCAAAGAUUUAUCGGCAAAGGAUGAGCCCGCGUAGGAUUAGGUAGUUGGUGGGGUAAAGGCCUACCAAGCCGACGAUCCUUAGCUGGUCUGAGAGGAUGAUCAGCCACACUGGGACUGAGACACGGCCCAGACUCCUACGGGAGGCAGCAGUGGGGAAUAUUGGACAAUGGGCGAAAGCCUGAUCCAGCAAUGCCGCGUGAGUGAUGAAGGCCUUAGGGUUGUAAAGCUCUUUACCCGAGAUGAUAAUGACAGUAUCGGGAGAAUAAGCUCCGGCUAACUCCGUG
rnacentral:rRNA from 1 species